rfam:Clostridium hiranonis DSM 13275 Scfld1 genomic scaffold, whole genome shotgun sequence.
GUCUUAUCAAGAGAGGUGGAGGGACUGGCCCUGUGAAACCCGGCAACCGGUAUAUUUCAAUAUAUACAGCGGUGCUAAAUCCUGCAACUAGUAAUAAUCAGUUGAUAGAUGAGUA